CACAAUUUAUUGGAUACAUAGGACAUGCAUGUUCUUACAAGAUAGCAUUGUUAUCAUUUAAAUAUUGAAAUGUUUUUUUUUUUACAUGGAAAUUUCGAGCAAAUAUAUAUUUUAAUACAUUAUUUACAUUCAACCGUGACUGUAGUAGCCUUGCACGUUAUCUUGUUUCAAGUGUUUCUGAAAUUAUUCCUAGAUAUAAUUAUCAAAUCUACAUCAUUCUCCUGUCACGCCCAGAAAGCAGACAUCAUUGAUACAUGUUUAUAAACAAAGAUGGAUUGUUAGUACAGUAAAACCUCGCAUACAAGAACCUAGCGGAUUAAAACCCUACACUGCUACCAGCUGAAAUUUGUGUAGGUAUGUUUGAAUCUGAUUUUUAGAGAGUGCAAACAUCAGAGCAGGGCCGGAUUAAAGUUCCGCGGGGCCCGUGGCAUAUUAUCAGCGCGGGGCCCCUUGAUCCCCCCCCCCCAACCUUCCAACGGCAUUUUAGACACUGACUUCAGUAAGAUUAAAAAAUAUCCUCUUGUAUUUCAUGCAUUGAAAAGUUUCCUGUGUAUUUACAAACAAAAAGAGUUAUACAUCAAUAAUUCGAUCGAACUGAAUUUCAACCCAGUUUAUACCAUUAACAUUAUUACUGAAGGGCUUCAAG